rnacentral:tRNA from 1 species
AAAAAGAUAAGCUAAAAUUAAGCUAGUGGGUUCAUACCUCAUUUAUAAAGACUAACCUUUUCUUUUUA